rfam:Elusimicrobia bacterium RIFOXYB2_FTLL_48_7 rifoxyb2_full_scaffold_1215, whole genome shotgun sequence.
GGGCUCCUAGCUCAGCGGUUAGAGCGGUUGGCUCAUAACCAAUUGGUCGGGGGUUCAAAUCCCUCGGAGCCCA